GUGCCAGCCGCCGCGGUAAUACGGAGGGGGUUAGCGUUGUUCGGAAUUACUGGGCGUAAAGCGUACGUAGGCGGAUCAGAAAGUAAGGGGUGAAAUCCCAGGGCUCAACCCUGGAACUGCCUCUUAAACUCCUGGUCUUGAGUUCGAGAGAGGUGAGUGGAAUUCCAAGUGUAGAGGUGAAAUUCGUAGAUAUUUGGAGGAACACCAGUGGCGAAGGCGGCUCACUGGCUCGAUACUGACGCUGAGGUACGAAAGUGUGGGGAGCAAACAGGAUUAGAAACCCUAGUAGUCC
rnacentral:rRNA from 1 species